CCAGCUCACCUGGGCCUGAGAGCAAAGCUGGUUCUGGACUGUGUCGUGAUGAUGGAGUCGCCAACUUGCAGACCAUCCAGAGCCACCUGGAUCAAAUCCACACCUGCAACACUGAACUGAGCUCCACUGAUCAGAUGGCCAGUGGUGACAUACGGAAGACUUCUU